CAGCAACCUUUCAAGGAGGCAGUAGAAUGGUGAUUUCCAGGGUCUGAGGAUGAGGGGCAUGUGUUUCAUUCCUUGACUUAAAGAAACUGAACAGUAGAAGAAAGAACACUGGGUGGCAGAUGGGGCCACAAUGAAGUACAGGAGGAGGUGUCCCUGCGAGGUCAGCAUCAGCCCCAGAUCACCCUACGGGCCACUCUUGAGAGAAUGAACUCUAAGACACCAAGAACGAUGGUGUGAAACAUUGUCUGACAAUCUAUGAAAACAGUGGUGUGGUUUCUUGGAUAAGUGCAUUUUGAAGUUUCUGGAGGAAAUAAAAAC